UCUCUACCAGGUGCUCUCUAACAUC
rnacentral:piRNA from 1 species